rnacentral:tRNA from 1 species
UCUAUCAAAGGAGAAUAGUUACCCCGCUCGUCUUAGGCACCACAACUC